rnacentral:rRNA from 1 species
CAGUAGCCACGGUAAUACGAAGGGUGCAAGCGUUAAUCGGAAUUACUGGGCGUAAAGCGUGCGUAGGCGGUGAGUUAAGUCUGCUGUGAAAUCCCCGGGCUCAACCUGGGAAUGGCAGUGGAUACUGGCUCGUUAGAGUGUGUCAGAGGAUGGUGGAAUUCCCGGUGUAGCGGUGAAAUGCGUAGAGAUCGGGAGGAACAUCAGUGGCGAAGGCGGCCAUCUGGGACAACACUGACGCUGAGGCACGAAAGCGUGGGGAGCAAACAGGAUUAGAUACCCCAGUAGUCCCUGUCUCUUAUAC